AUCGAACGCUGGCGGCAUGCCUAACACAUGCAAGUCGAGCGGAGUGGCGGACGGGAGAGUAAUGCCUAGGAAUCUGCCUGGUAGCGGGGGAUAACGUACGGAAAAGGGCGCCAACACCGCAUACUAUAAGACUAGCCUAGGUCGGAUUAGCUAGUUGGUGGGGUAAAGGCCUACAAAGGUGAAGAUUCGUAACUGGUCUGAGAGGAUUAUCAGUCACACUGGAACUGAGACACGGUCCAGACUCCGACGGGAGGCAGCAGUGGGGAAUAUUGGACAAUGGGCGAAGGCCUGAUCCAGCCAUGCCGCGUGUGUGAAGAAGGUCUUCGGAUUGUAAAGCACUUUAAGUUGGGAGGCGUUACCAACAGAAUAAGCACCGGCUAACUUCGUGCCAGCAGCCGCGGUAAUAC
rnacentral:rRNA from 1 species